rnacentral:tRNA from 1 species
UUUUCCUUCUUUUGGCUUCUUAGUGGUUUGAAUACAAGGCGUGGUGAAGAGAUAUAAAUUACACAAGAAACUACAAGCUAUGUCAUAUGUCUACCUCUCUAGCUGACAAGGGAAGCAGGGGAAAUUUCUCUUCCAAUUGUCUGCUCUGAAGGUCAUCCAAACAUAAUUAUCAGGUGGGGUGGGUGAACUCUUUUAUUCUUUUAAUCAUCCAACAAAUAUUUCUCAAGCGCAUACCUUGUUAAGAGACUGUUUUGGGUACAGUAAUUCACAGUGAAUAAAACACAGAUAUUCUCACCUUUGUGAUACUACGUCAUAGUUGCAAGGAGUGGGGAGAAACAGACAGGAAGCAAAGAAGAAAAAUAAACAAGAAGUCAUGUGAUAAUAUCUACUGGGAGGGACUCAUUAGGCAGUAAAGGACUCGGCAGUGUGGAGGUGACACAUUCAGUUUUCAGUAGAAGAAUCAGGGAAGUUGUCACUUUGAAGCUAUCAUUUAGCUUCCCUUUCUUUCAAUCUUCUUUCUUUACAUGGGAAAUAAGGAUUGUGGGAUAUUUUUGGGUGGAUCACAGCACCUAGAGAUGGACCUGAUCAAUAAGAACUGCUCAGUAAGCAUUAGCUACUGCUUCGGUUGCCUUCCCCCUGUGGAGUGCUGGCCUCUUGGAUUGAGCUUGCAUCAUAGGUGUUCAGUAGGAGCUUGCUUAGUGGAUUUAUAGGUUGAGGUUAGAACCCACUGGAAUUCUCUUCCUGGAAAGAACAGGCUUCUCUUUAAGGUUUCAUACAGACCCUGGUUGAGGAAAGAGCCCUAAAUUGCUUGAAAAAUUGAAUGCUCUAUGGGCAAAGCAGGAAGCCCUCCUAUGGAAGGGCAUCAUUUGGGCAUAUAUCAGGGUCUCAGUAAAAACAUGAGUGCUCAGGAAGUCAAGAUGGUUAAGCAGAGAAUCUGACCAGAAUGUUCAUGGUGCGAAGAAAUAAUCUUGUUGGGUGUAGGAUUACAACAACUGGGAAAUUAGAAUACAGGCUAAAUGAGAUUCAAAAAUAAUACAACAAGAAUCAGGCACAAAUCCUUUACUACUACAUUCUUUUGUACAAAUCCAUUUUGCCUAGAAAAUCGUACCUUACUAUACAUCCCUAUUGUGUUUCUCCACCAUCUAUUUUACUUUUUAAACUUUAUUUCAUUUUUGUCAUCACAGAAGCUUGUUGCUACAAAAUAAAUGAGCAAAUCAGCCAAUGGCAACAAAGCUGCACUGAUCUCUCUCCUUAGACCUUCAGAACAUUUUCCUUAAAGGUGAACAAUACUCCACGUUCAAGGACUUUUUCAGCACUAUGUGCUAGAAACUAUGCUGACUGUUUAUUAAUUUUUAUGUAAGUUGGUCGAUAUAGUUUCUCAGCUUCCCCAAGUAUUAUUACCACAGUACUAUAGAUGACACUGAAGCUCAGAGCAGUUAAACCAUUUUCCUCAGAUCACAUAACUUUAAAGAGGGAAACCAGAUAUGGGAAGCAGAUUUCUUUCUAAAUGAAAAAAUCAUGAGCUCUUGCUUUCACUUAGCACAUAGUCUCAUCAUCUGUUUUCUUCACACCAGCUCACUCAUGUAACAUUCAUUCAUUUACCAAAUACAGAUAAAUGAGUGGAUUUAUUCUUGCUUUCAUCAGAUACUAAUUCAAAAUCGCUUCUGUGUCUGCUACACUGUGCUCAAGACUUGCCAGUGCCUUUGUCUCCUCUCCCUCAAAUCUCUCCACCCAAUGUCUUGACAAAUACUGUAGAUUCUUCCUGCAUAACCUCUCCAGAAUCUUUUCCUUCUGUUAUCCAUGCUACAGUGUUUAUGGAGGAUGUUUUCUUCACCUAUGAAGUGUGAUGGGGGCUGAAGCUGCAGCAAGACUCAUGCUGUUCACCUCAGGAGCUGACACAGUAAAUGUGGAUAAACCUCAAUCCUUUAAUAUCUUUAUGACUUCUUUCCCAGUUACCCCAGCGAAUUUACAGAUUGAGGUUAAAACCACAACAGGAUUAUCUUCCUGGAAAGAAUAGGCUUCCCUUUAAGGUUUCACAUAGAUACUGGGUGAGGAAGGAGCCCUAAAUUGCUUGAAAAAUUGAAUGCUCUUUGGGCAAAGCAGGAAGCCUUGCUAUGGAAGAGCAUCAUUUGAACAUAAAUCAGAGUCUCAGUACAAACAGAGUGCUCAGGACAUCAAGAUGGUUAACCAGAGAGCCUGGCCAGAAUAUCUGCGGUGGAGAGAAACGAUCUUGUUGGGAGAAGGAUGACAAUAAUUGGGGACUUAGAAUAAAGGCUAAAAAUGAUUCAAAGAGAAUGCAAAAAGAAUCAGGCACACAUCCUUUACUCUGUUGUGCAAAUCUCACCUUACUGUGUGUUUGUAUUCUAUUCCUCCACAAUCUUUAUUUUAUUUUAUUUUUAUGUUCACAGAGAUUUGUUGGUGCCAACUAAAUGAGCCCAACAGCCAGUGACAACAGAACUGCACUAAAAAAAGUCCCUCAUCAGCUCUUGAGAGCAGGUUCCUUAAAGGUGAACAAUAUUCCACAUACAAGGACUUUUUCAGCACCAUGCAUUAGAAAUGGAAGUGAAUGUUUAUUAUUUUUUGUAUAAGUUGGUUGAUACGGCUUUUCAGCUUCCCUCAGUAUCAUUAUCCAAAUUUUGUAGAUGACACUAAAGCUCAGAGGAGUUAAACCAUUUUCCUCAAAUCACAUAGUUUUAAAUAGGAAAACCAGAUAUGAAAAGCAGAUUUUUUUCUAAAUUAAAAAAAAAAAAAAAACUUGAGCUCUUGCUUUACCCUAGCACAUAGUCUCACCAUCUGUUUUCUCCAUGCCAGGUCAUUCAUGUAACAUUCAUUCACAUAACAAAUACAAAUAAAUGAGUGGAUUCAUUCAUCAGCUAUUAAUUCAGAAUCUCUUUUGUGUCUACCACACUAGGCUCAAGACUUCCCAGUGUCUUUGUCUCCUCUCCCUCAAAUCUCUCCACCCAAUGUCUUGACAAAUACUGUAGAUCCUUCCUGCACAGCAUCACCAGAAUGUUUUUCUUUCUUUUCAUUCACCUCUGUCAUCAUCCAUGCUAUGGUGUUUAUGGAGGAUGUAUUCUGCAGCAGGAAGUGUGAUGGGCACUGACGCUGCAGAAAGACUCCUGUUGUCCACCUCGGGAGCUGACACGAUAAAUGCGGCUUGAAUGUGAGGCAACUGUGAAAAGUGCAGGGCAGAGCCACCUGGGUAAAUACAGCCCUGGCUUUCUGGUGAGAGGACUGAAACCAGGAUGUGUCAAGUAACUAGAAUGUGCCUGGACAGAUACUGUAGAAAGCAAACCCAUAAAGUUGUUCAUGAGCUUGUGGACGCACCUGCCAGCUGUGAAUAAGUGGGUCUAAUCCCAAACAACUUACCUAAAAAGAGCCUGAGGACUGAACUAAACAAUGGUCCACUUUCCAGUCCUCACUGACCACUGGUUGCACACACUCCAGAGAUCUCUCAUCCGCAGUGUCAAGGCUUUCAAAUAGAGUUAUCUGUGAAACAACAACACAUGGAAGUCUGGUUGGUACUUGGAGCUUAAAUACAAGGCAAUUGUGUGCCUGCAAAAACAAAAAGAGCAAUAUUAUCCUUAAGAUUUCAACAAGACACAGUGUCUCAUCACAUAAUCCAAAGAAGUCCAGGUUACAAGCCCCAAAAUAUUCAGCAUUAUGAAAAACCAGGGAGAUCUUAAUUCACAUGGCAAAGAGAAUCCUUGCAUAACAAUAUUGAGAGGACACAUAUGUCAAAAUCAUCUGACACAUACAUUAAAGCAGUUAUUAUAACAAUGCUCCUAGAAUUACGGGAUAGCAUUCAUGAAGUGAAUGGAAAGUUGGAAAGUCUCACCAAAUAUUUGGAAUAUGUAAACACCAAUUUAAACUUAAGAAUUAAAAAAAGUAUUAACCAAAACUAUUAGGGGAAAUAAAAAGCUUAAUUGGAUGAUCUCAAUAGCAGUAUGCAGAAGACUAAGGAAAAAGUCAAUGAACUUGAAAACGGAACAAGAAUACCUACAGAAUCUGACCUAUAGAAAGAAAGGAGGAUUUUAUUGUCCCUGAACAGAGGCUCAGGGACAAAUAAAAAAUAACAAAUCUAACAUUCACAUUAUUGUAAUCUGGAAACAUUCACAUUAUUGUAAGAGGACAAAGAGGUCUUUGUGGGAUAAAACUGUGAAGAAUUAAUGGCUGAAAAUGUAUCAAAUUUCUCAAAAGAUAUAAACCAGAUUUUUAAAGUUCAGUAAAUGUCAAGCAGGAUAAACCAAAAGAAACCCAUUGCAAGACAUAUCAUAAUCAAACUGCGGAAAAUUAAGAAAACACAAAACAAUUUUGAAAGCAGCCAAAGGGAAAUGAAAGAUAAAAUACCAAAUGAAUGAUUGUAGAUUUCUCAUCGGGAACCCAGGAGCCAGAAAAAAAUGUCAUAACAUUCAGUAAAUACCAAAGGAAAAAUACAUUAUCAACCCAGAAUGGUAUGUGGAGCAAAAGUAUCUUCCAGACAUAAAGGCAAAUAAAUGCAUUCUCAUUGGAAGGUAAAUAAAUACAUUCUCAGUCCUAGCAAAACUGCUGGAAAAGAAUUAGCAAAGGUUUGAGAUAAGAAAAGUGAUACCAGAAGGAAACUUAGAACAUCAUCAAUGAAGGAACAAAAGCAGAAAUAGAAAAUGUCUGGGUAGACAUAACAGACUAUUAUUCUUCUCUUGAGUUCCUUAAGACAAUGAGUAGCCACUGCUGUUUGCCCUGGCCCAUCAAUGAGAAGAUCUGCUCUUAGAGCCCUGCUUUCCUGCUGAAGGCCCUGAAAUCACCUGUGUUCCAGGCCACCUGCUAACAAUAAAUAAUGCUGCCCUGAUGUGGGGAAUUAGCUCAAGUGGUAGAGCGCUUGCUUAGCACGCAAGAGGUAGUGGGAUCGAUGCCCACAUUCUCCAAGCUUUAUUAUUUAGACAUCGUGUCUCCAAACACUCAGGUCUCCAAACCCAAGUUAGUGUCUGAGAACAGGAUGCUGCUUUGGUUCAAGACGUAGGAGCAGCAAUAAUAGAGGGCUGGUGAUGGCUCCCUCUUGGCAUUCAGUAUAGUGUAGAUCUACCAUGUAAUUAAUUCUCUGUUUCUUUGAGGAGCUGUGAAACCAAGGGACAUAUACAACUGCUCUUUUCUCCCUGUUUCUACCUGCAGCUUUGUCCUAAAUGUGAGACAAUUAUGAAAAGUGCAGCGCAGAGCCACUUGGGUAAAUACAGCCCCGGCUUUCUGCUCAGGGGACAGAGUUUGAGGCACUGCAGAGGAACCGGCCAAAGUAUGAGACCCAUAUAUUGAGAGUAACAGAGUGUAAAGUUCAAAAAAAUCAAAAUAUUUAAAGAUUUAUCAUGGGUCUUGAUGACAUGAUGGAAUCUCUCUACUCUCUGGACUUAUUAUGUGUGGUAAUAAAUUUACUUUUUAAAAGCCAGUUGAGUGUUUUUAAUGUUGUGGAGCUAUUGCUAAGAGUUUCCUGAGUUUUUUCCAGUAAUGUAGAGAUCUUUGUGCUAAAUAUUUCAUAAAGAAGUUUGG